rnacentral:rRNA from 1 species
UACGGGGGGAGCAAGCGUUGUUCGGAUUUACUGGGCGUAAAGGGCGCGUAGGCGGCGCAACAAGUCACUUGUGAAAUCUCCGGGCUUAACUCGGAGCGGCCAAGUGAUACUGUCGUGCUAGAGUGCGGAAGGGGCAACUGGAAUUCUCGGUGUAGCGGUGAAAUGCGUAGAUAUCAAGAGGAACACCUGAGGUGAAGACGGGUUGCUGGGCCGACACUGACGCUGAGUGCGCGAAAGCCAGGGGAGCAAACGGG